rnacentral:rRNA from 1 species
AAAUCUCACCCGGCCCGGACACAGUGAGGAUUGACAGAUUGAGAGCUCUUUCUUGAUUCUGUGGGUGGUGGUGCAUGGCCGUUCUUAGUUGGUGGAGCGAUUUGUCUAGUUAAUUCCGAUAACGAACGAGACUCUGGCUUGCUAAAUAGUUACGCGACCCUCCCGGUCGGCGUUUAACUUCUUAGAGGGACUAGUGGCGUUUAGCCACACGAGAUUGAGCAAUAA